AGUGAACGCUGGCGGUAGGCCUAACACAUGCAAGUCGAACGGCAGCACAGUAAGAGCUUGCUCUUACGGGUGGCGAGUGGCGGACGGGUGAGGAAUACAUCGGAAUCUACUUUUUCGUGGGGGAUAACGUAGGGAAACUUACGCUAAUACCGCAUACGACCUACGGGUGAAAGCAGGGGAUCUUCGGACCUUGCGCGAUUGAAUGAGCCGAUGUCGGAUUAGCUAGUUGGCGGGGUAAAGGCCCACCAAGGCGACGAUCCGUAGCUGGUCUGAGAGGAUGAUCAGCCACACUGGAACUGAGACACGGUCCAGACUCCUACGGGAGGCAGCAGCGGGGAAUAUUGGACAAUGGGCGCAAGCCUGAUCCAGCCAUACCGCGUGGGUGAAGAAGGCCUUCGGGUUGUAAAGCCCUUUUGUUGGGAAAGAAAAGCAGCAGGUUAAUACCCCGCUGUUCUGGCGGUACCCAAAGAAUAAGCACCGGCUAACUUCGUG
rnacentral:rRNA from 1 species